UGCCAAUGACUCACCAGUAGACAGUGU
rnacentral:piRNA from 1 species